AAUGAACGCUGGCGGCAGGCCUAAAACAUGCAAGUCGAACGCCCUAGCAAUAGGGAGUGGCGCACGGGUGAGUAACAUGUGGGAAUAUGCCUUUUGGUACGGAACAACGUUUGGAAACGAACGCUAAUACCGUAUGGUGCCUCCGGGGUAAAGAUUUAUCGCCAAAAGAUUAGCCCGCACUAGAUUAGCUAGUUGGUAAGGUAAUGGCUUACCAAGGCGACGAUCUAUAGCUGUUCUGAGAGGAAGAUCAGCCACACUGGGACUGAGACACGGCCCAGACUCCUACGGGAGGCAGCAGUUAGGAAUAUUGGACAAUGGGCGCAAGCCUGAUCCAGCCAUGCCGCGUGAGUGAUGAAGGCCUUCGGGUUGUAAAGCUCUUUAGCCGACGAAUAUAAUGACUGUAGUCGGAGAAUAAGCCCCAGCUAACUUCGUGCCAGCCGCCGCCGUAACAC
rnacentral:rRNA from 1 species